rnacentral:ncRNA from 1 species
GUGGCGCUCAAGCGUCAUGCCUUAAUGAGGGAAUGAGGUGAGGAUGAAACAAGACAUCCAAAACCUGAGCCGUCCCCGCGACUGUAAGUAAUGUGUUUCUGCACCAGAAGUGCCACUGGCGAUGCGUAUUGCAAGCUGGGAAGGCGGGGCGGAGGCAAAACAUUGCGAGCCAGGAGACCUGCCAGAGCGU